CUUGUAGUAACUGGGAAUUCUUCCCCUGAAGACACCUGGUUAAUUCACUUGCAACCUGUUUCCAGAUUUGCCAGCAGGACAGCUCUUGAUUUGAAAGAGAUGGAGUCUCACUAUGUUGCCCAGGUUGGUCUGGAACUCUUCAGCUCAAGUGAUCCUCCCACUUCAGCCUCCCAUGUAGCCAGGAUUACAGGGUUUUGCAACUGCAGCACUAUUUUGGACUGGCCAAUUCUCUGUUGGGGGCACUGUCAUGUGCACUGUAGGAGAUUUAGCAGAAUUCCUGGAUACUACCCACAAAAUGCCAAUAGCACCCCUCUGUCAGGUGUGACAACCAUUUCCAGACAUUGCCAAAUAUCUUCUGGGGGCGAAAUCACCCAUGGUUGAGAACCAGCAAUUUAAAAGGACAGAAUUUUGCCUGAGCAGAAAGACCAGAAAAACCUAUCCUGUUUUCCCAGGAAUUAGAAAACCCUUCGUCUUCAAGAGCAAGGAACCAUUUUAAAAGGUCCAAACCCUUAAACACCUGAGAGCAAAGAGAUUCUCAAGGGAAUUGAAGUUCAGGGUCAGAGAGUGCCUGUCCUCACCCACUGCAACCAGGUUCUUGAAGUUCUCCACCAUGACAUCUCGGUACAGCUUCCUCUGGGUAAGAUCCAGCAGUCGCAGUUCCUCCCUGGAGAAGACCACAGCCACAUCCUUGAAUGUCACAGCCUCCUACAACAUCAAACACAUGUAACCUCAAUCUUACAACCAACCUCCACUAGAAGAAGGUUGUGUGUGUGUGAGACAAGGUCUUACUAUGUUGUCCAGGUUGGUCUCAAAUUCCUGGGCUCACUUGAUGCUCCUGCCUCAGCCUCCCAAGUAGCUGGGACUACAGGUGUAUGCUAACAUGCCUGGCUAAUAUAUAUAUAUAUAUAAAAAUUUUUUUUUUUUUUUUUUGUAGAGAUGGAGUCUCUACAAAUUUUUAAAAAUAAAUAAAUUUUCAGGCUAGGCACAGUGGCUCACACCUGUAAUGCCAGCACUUUGGGAGGCCGAGGCGGGCAAAUCACUUCAGGCCAGGAGUUUGAGACCAGCCUGGCCAAGAUGCUGAAACCCCGUCUCUACUAAAAAUACAAAAAAAUUAGCCAGGCGUGGUGAUGUGCGUCUGUAAUCCCAGCUACUCAGGAGGCUGAGGCAGGAGAAUCACUUGAACCUGGGAGGCGGAGAUUGCAGUGAGCCAAGAUGGCACCACUGCACUCUAGCCUGGGUGACGGGUGAGACACUGUCUUAAAAUAAAUAAAUUUUUAAAAUUAAAAUAAAUAGAUCAUAAAGUGUUUGAAAGGAUCAGAUGAAUGAAUACAUGUCAAGCACUUAGAAGUGCCUGGCACACCAUAUGUGCUCAAUAAACUCGAACAAUGAAUAUCUU